CACCAGCGCCACGAGUGGGAACCAUAUUUAUUUGGCCUAAAGCGUCCGUAGCCGGCUUGAUAAAUCUAUUGUGAAAUCAUUGUGCUCAACGCAAUGGCGUGCAGUAGACACUGUCAAGCUUGAGACCGGAAGGAGUCAGAAGUAUUCUGUGGGGAGCGGUAAAAUGCUAUAAUCCUCAGAGGACUACCUGUGGCGAAGGCGUCUGACUAGUACGGUUCUGACGGUGAGGGACGAAAGCUAGGGGAGCGAUCCGGAUUAGAUACCCCAGUA
rnacentral:rRNA from 1 species